rnacentral:rRNA from 2 species
GAUGGAUCCGCGCUGCAUUAGCUAGUUGGUAAGGUAACGGCUUACCAAGGCAACGAUGCAUAGCCGACCUGAGAGGGUGAUCGGCCACACUGGAACUGAGACACGGUCCAGACUCCUACGGGAGGCAGCAGUAGGGAAUCUUCCGCAAUGGGCGAAAGCCUGACGGAGCAACGCCGCGUGAGUGAUGAAGGUCUUCGGAUCGUAAAACUCUGUUAUUAGGGAAGAACAUAUGUGUAAGUAACUGUGCACAUCUUGACGGUACCUAAUCAGAAAGCCACGGCUAACUACGUGCCAGCAGCCGCGGUAAUACGUAGGUGGCAAGCGUUAUCCGGAAUUAUUGGGCGUAAAGCGCGCGUAGGCGGUUUUUUAAGUCUGAUGUGAAAGCCCACGGCUCAACCGUGGAGGGUCAUUGGAAACUGGAAAACUUGAGUGCAGAAGAGGAAAGUGGAAUUCCAUGUGUAGCGGUGAAAUGCGCAGAGAUAUGGAGGAACACCAGUGGCGAAGGCGACUUUCUGGUCUGUAACUGACGCUGAUGUGCGAAAGCGUGGGGAUCAAACAGGAUUAGAUACCCUGGUAGUCCACGCCGUAAACGAUGAGUGCUAAGUGUUAGGGGGUUUCCGCCCCUUAGUGCUGCAGCUAACGCAUUAAGCACUCCGCCUGGGGAGUACGACCGCAAGGUUGAAACUCAAAGGAAUUGACGGGGACCCGCACAAGCGGUGGAGCAUGUGGUUUAAUUCGAAGCAACGCGAAGAACCUUACCAAAUCUUGACAUCCUUUGACAACUCUAGAGAUAGAGCCUUCCCCUUCGGGGGACAAAGUGACAGGUGGUGCAUGGUUGUCGUCAGCUCGUGUCGUGAGAUGUUGGGUUAAGUCCCGCAACGAGCGCAACCCUUAAGCUUAGUUGCCAUCAUUAAGUUGGGCACUCUAAGUUGACUGCCGGUGACAAACCGGAGGAAGGUGGGGAUGACGUCAAAUCAUCAUGCCCCUUAUGAUUUGGGCUACACACGUGCUACAAUGGACAAUACAAAGGGCAGCGAAACCGCGAGGUCAAGCAAAUCCCAUAAAGUUGUUCUCAGUUCGGAUUGUAGUCUGCAACUCGACUACAUGAAGCUGGAAUCGCUAGUAAUCGUAGAUCAGCAUGCUACGGUGAAUACGUUCCCGGGUCUUGUACACACCGCCCGUCACACCACGAGAGUUUGUAACACCCGAAGCCGGUGGAGUAACCUUUUAGGAGCUAGCCGUCGAAGGUGGGACAAAUGAUUGGGGUGAAGUCGUAACAAGGUAGCCGUAUCGGAAGGUGCGGCUGGAUCACCU